AUGAUGAAGCUUCUCGGUAGGAUCAUCGCAAAACUUAAGAUGCCACAACCAACCCAUACUGAUGAGGCGCAAGAUCUCAUUGACAACAUCAGAGAAUAUCUAAGAGACAAAAGGUACUUUUUUGUCAUUGAUGAUAUAUGGGAGGAAUCAGUAUGGGGAAUUAUUCGUUGUGUGUUUCCAGAGAACCAACGAGAUAGCAAAGUAAUCACAACCACGAGAAUUGUGACAGUAGCUAAUGCAACCUGUGACUAUCGGCAUGAGAUCAUUUACAAGAUGUGUCCUCUUGAUGACCAAAACUCAAGAAAAUUAUUUUUCAGUAGAGUUGGACAGGUUGAUCUUCAACCAUUAGAAGAGAUUUCGAAUGAAAUUCUACGAAAAUGUGGUGGUCUCCCACUUGCUGUCGUCAGUAUUGCUAGUCUUUUGGCGAGUCAGCCAACUAGAUCAGUGACACAAUGGAAGCAUGUGUGCAAUUCUUUAAGCUCAAAUAUGAGAUCAAAUCCAACUUUGGAGGGGAUGAGAUGGAUACUGAACCUUAGAUACAACAAUCUUCCUCAUCGUCUCAAAACUUGUUUGCCAUAUACUGCCAUGUACCCAGAGGAUUACAUUGUUAGAAAGAAUGAUCUUGUUAGGCAAUGGGUAGCUGAAGGUUUCAUCCGCAAAAUACAUGGUGAGGAUGCAAAUGAGGUCGCUGGAAGCUGCUUUAACGAGCUUGUCAAUAGGAGCAUGAUCCAACCUACAAAUAUUGGGUACAAUGGACAUGUUAUAAAUUGUAAAGUUCAUGAUAUGAUUCUUGAUCUAAUCAGAAUCAAGUCGGAAGAAGAGAACUUUCUUAGUGUGGUAGAUGACCUACAGGGCACGACCGCAGCAAUGCGGAGCAAGGUUCGCCGACUCUCCCUUCAGUUGGAUUACGGAGCGAAUGAAGGCACAGUACAUGCAAGCUUAAGCAUGCCGCAUAUUCGGUCUCUUGCUCUUUUUGGGAAGUCUUGUUUCAAGUUGUCUAUGUAUGAAUUCAAAUCCAUCCGGGUUCUUAAUGUGGAUUGUCAGGGUGCCAACAUGGGUGAUAGGAUUGACCUCACACCAAUCUAUAAAUUAUUUCAACUCAGAUAUUUGAGAAUCAGCAUCCCCAAGGAACAUAUGUCAACCCUUAUUCGGCCAGCUCUAAUUGGGGACCUGAAACAUUUGGAGACACUGAAAUUGGAUACGGCUAUUAUUGCCAUACCAUCUGAUAUUGUUGAUUUGCCUUGCUUGUUGCAUCUACAUGUUCCUACAGGAAGAAGGCUACCUGAUGGUAUUCAUAGGAUGAAGGCCCUACGUACUCUGGUGAACUUUGAUGUGCACUUGAACUCGGUGGAUAAUUUAUCAGGUCUCAGUGAACUUACAAAUCUCAGGUCUCUUGAUUUUUGUUGUGAUGAUGUUGAACAUACCACCAGCCAACGUGGAAUUUUUAUGAACAUUUUCUGGUGUUCCGUGGGCAAACUCCUCAGUUGCAAUCUGAGAAAUCUUCAAUCCUGCAGUAACAUAUUUUCUCCUCCUUUUGUUGAAUUGGGUUCUCUGACCACUAGCAAUACUGAGAGCAAUCUUGAGGAACUCCAUGUUGCAGCAACUUGGAUGUUUCAGAGGGUUCCGUCUUGGCUCAGUCAACACCAAAAGCUCUGGAAGUUAGGAAUUUGUAUUGGGAAAAUGGAUUUUUUUUCAAAAUUAUGA
rnacentral:rRNA from 1 species